UACGUAGGGGGCGAGCGUUGUCCGGAAUUACUGGGCGUAAAGCGCAUGUAGGCGGGCGACUAAGUCAGGGGUGAAAACCGUGGGCUCAACCUACGGCUUGCCCUUGAUACUGGUCGUCUUGAGUACAGGAGAGGGAAGCGGAAUUCCCGGUGUAGCGGUGAAAUGCGUAGAUAUCAGGAGGAACACCGGAGGCGAAAGCGGCUAUCUGGCGCACACCUGACGCUGAGGCACGAAAGCUAGGGGAGCAAACAGG
rnacentral:rRNA from 1 species